rnacentral:piRNA from 1 species
UCUGAGGAAUUCAGGCUCAAGAUGGCUC